rnacentral:lncRNA from 1 species
CCAUCCUUCAGAUUUGCCAUUCUUCCCGACUCCACAGGAUAGGAGCAGAAAUUCGAGCCCGGGUGCUGCUUUUGUGCACAGUUUGUGGCCUCUCUCUUAACUCCGUUCCUUAGCAGAAAGAAAGAAUUCAGUCUGGUGGGUGAGGUGGGCUGCUGAAUUCUUUCUAUUUCAAUUGUAUUGAGGAGCUUUCGAGAUUUUCCAUUUUUGUUUUCUUUCAUCAUCCAUCUAAGUGUAAAAGCUAGCUGUCAUUUGGAAAAGUUGGGAGGAGACGGCAUUUAGAGACAAACUACAACCUUCAAAUAGAAAAAUGACUCAUUUCUUCAAGUGGUUUCGACUUCCUAUUAUCUGGAUUUGAUCCAUCACUUAUGUCAGAUCAACUAAGCCUGGUCCAUCAUGGUUACAAAGUGCCCAGCCUGGCACCAUGCAUGUGAUCGUGAUGAUACGAGAAAUCAAAGAGCACUUGGGAAAGUGUGAUUCAAAGCUGGGACCAACAAGAUGCAGUAUCCAUGGAUGUCACUGACCUGGCUUCCCGCCAUUAUGGCCACCAAUUAUGUGUGUCUUUCACUGAAGCGUCAACCACACCUCUGCCAUCAGGGGGGCAAUAGUGAUCUCAGUUAAC